rnacentral:lncRNA from 1 species
CCGAGUGUUACAGCCCCCCGGCAGCAGCAGCUCGCCGAAUCCCGGGGCCGAGGGAGCCCGAUACCCGUCGCCGCGCUCUCCCCCACCGCGGUGGGGGCCGGGCCGCCCCUCCCACGGCGCGACCGCUCUCCUGUCCCUCCCGUGGUUUCUCUCUCUCCCGGUCUCGGCCGGUGUGGGGUGGCGUGGCGUGGCGCGGCUCGGCGCGGCCGGUGCGCCUCGGCUACUCCCGUGCCAGCUUGGCGGGCCCCGUCCGUCCGUCCGUCGCACGCCGCCGCACACCCCGGCCUUGGCCAAGCCGGGGUGGUGGCGGCGGCUGUGGCGGCACGGGCGGCGAGCUUGCCGGGUUGUGGUCCCUCACUUCCCUCGGAGGGGAGAGGGGUGUUGUUGGGGUGGUAAGAGAGAGAGGGGAGAAACUCCCGUUCUCGCUCUCUCUCUCUGCGUGCUCUCUCUCCCUCUCCGCCGGUUCUCCUCGCGCCGUGGCGCCGCGACGCGUGUGGGGAUGUCAGGCGGGGAAGAGGGGCUGGAGUGCGUUUCCCUCCACCACCCCCUUCACUUCUUUCCUCUCCCGCAAGAGUCGGGGUAGACCAGUACUCCCGCUGGAAAAACUUUGUGAAGGCAGCGGGUCGACCAGAUGUCCGGACCGUUCCCAUUUCCCCCCCCCCACCCCCGGCGGUGGGGGUGGGGCGCGGCCCCUGACCGUUUCCGCGGGUCGACCAGAAGUCUGGUUGGACUCUUUUUUUUUUUUUUUUUUUAAUACUAUAUAUAUAGAUAUAAUAUAUAAUAUAUAUAUAAAUAUAUAAUAUAUAUAUAUAUACAUAUACAUAUAUAUAUAUACAUAUAAUUUACUGUGAAUGAGAGGUCGACCAGUUGUCUGGUUUUAAGAUACAGUAUCGAAGUAUCGAGGUCGACCAGUUGUCUCUGUUUUUUUUUUUUUUUUUUUUUUUUUUUUUUUUUUUUUUUUUAAGGAGGUUGACCAGUUGGUCUUUUGCAAACCCGAUUGAUUGAUUGAUUGAUUGACUGACUGACUGAUUGAUUGAUUGAUUGAAAUCAUGGGGAUCUUUCAUCGGUUACCCUGAACCUCACAAUUUUUUUUAUUUAUUUUUUUUAUUAUUUUAUUUGCUCCCUCCCAUCUUAUUUAUAUGGAGGUCGACCAGUUGUCUCUGGAUUUUUUUUUUUUAAAUGCAGAUUGAUUCAUUGAUUCAUUGAUUCAUUGAUUGAUUAUUCUUUUGAUUUUGUGGGUGGGGUGGCGUGGAGUGACGUGGUCUUUGAUCCGGUGUCCUGGACCAUUUCUUUGUUUGUUUGUUUGUUUGUUUAGAUCCCCAUGAUUGUUUGUUUGUUAUCUGUCUUAUUCGUUUAUUCAUUCAUUUUGGGUACCAACGUGCAUGUACACCUUUAUACCAGAAGAGGGCAUCAGAUCCUAGGGAAUUGAAGUCAUGAACUCCUUUGUCUUGUUUCCUUCCUUCCUUCCUUCCUUCCUUCCUUCCUUCCUUCCUUCCUUCUUUCUUUCUUUCUUUCUUUCUUUCUUUCUUUCUUUCUUUCUUUCUUUCUAAGUGUAUGUAUGUAUGUAUGUAUGUAUGUAUGUAUGUAUGUAUGUAGUUUGUUUGUUUCUGUCUUUCUUUCUUCGAGAAGGGUUCUCCUCUAACACUAACCCUGUGGUUUGGUUGGGUUGGGUUGGGUUGGGUUGCGUCGGUCGGUCGGUCGGUCGGUUGGUUGGUUGGUUGGUUGGUUGGUUUUUAUAAGAAUUGUUUCUGAAUGUUAGAAAUUCAGAUCGAUUUUCUUACUUUGGGGUUGUUUGUUUCC